CGUGCGCAGGCGGUUAUAUAAGACAGAUGUGAAAUCCCCGGGCUCAACCUGGGAACUGCAUUUGUGACUGUAUAGCUGGAGUGCGGCAGAGGGGGAUGGAAUUCCGGCGUGUAGCAGUGAAAUGCGUAGAUAUGCGGAGGAACACCGAUGGCGAAGGCAAUCCCCCUGGGGCCUGCCACUGACGCUCAUGCACGAAAGCGUGGGGAGCAAACAGGAUUAGAUACCCUAGU
rnacentral:rRNA from 1 species